ensembl:lncRNA
GUAAACGAUACUGAGACUCUGUGAACUUACUUAGUUGCAUUUGUUCGCUAAUGUUACAGAGAGUAUGUUUUGUGGCCAGAAAGCGUAAUAACCUUCCUUGCUUCUAAUUUGGGUGAACUUUGUACACGGUGGUGGUAUCUCCUAAAGGGUUAGGCUGCGAGAUGAGGCUUUGGGGUGACAGGUGGCACUGACAGUAGUGGGGGAGGGAGAUACGGCCAGACAUGCACCAUGGGGUUUGUUCUAAUCUGCCCCCCACAGCGGCAUCACGUCACUCUUCCCACAUCCUGCCUCCCUGACAGUACUAGGACACUCCUUAGAGACAUGACGCCCUCCGGUGAUGCUGCCGACGGGUGCAGCGUUCCGGUGGUUCCAGUAGGACUGUGACCUCUGACCUCCACCCAAAACUCUGCCAUCAAGUGCAAUGCCAACUCUCGCUUGGAUCAUCUCGGGCACCAACACUGGCUGACAAACACAAACUACGUGAAAAAAAGAAGAAAAGAAACACAAGACAACUAUGAAAAAAAAAACUUCAUCACAAGAUACAGAACAAUAAAACAACAAUACAAAAAGAAUCAAACGAGUAAUGGAUGCACCUACUUAUUCCUUGAACCAAAAAUUUAAACAUAAAAAUAUCUAUGGCAACUUUCAUUCCCUUUUAUAUGUUUCCAUUUUGGUACCUUUUUGUCCCUUUUCCAGCAGAUUUUUUCUGUGGCUUAGACAUGGAACUGUUCAUUGACAAACAGAAAUGGCGGACUCAGUAUGGACAAUCAACAAAAUUUCUGUGUUUGGUGUUAAUGUUGUUCACGUGUGGAAAGAUACAGUACUUGUGUAGAGAAUGUAAAUUUUACGGCUAUAUUUUAAAAUUAGUGGCUAAUGGCAAGCACUAUUGUAAUUUAGGACCAUUGUUCUUACUUAUAAACUGUAUUUUAUGAUUGUUUCUUUUUUUUAGUUUGAUUUAAAUUUAGAGUUUUAAAAACUGAUCAGUGUUUGUCUUUCAAGGGAGAGUAAAUAUUCCAAAAUCUACAAAUCCAGUUUUCUGAAUGAACAAAUAUGCAUCAUAAAAAACCCCUACUCUGACGACGACUUAAUUGGAAGAUAAAAUUGUCAUUGUUUCUGUAGGGUUGUUACUACUGGAAGCUCCAAACUUUAAAUAUUUCAGUUUGUUUUAUUGUACUGACAGCCUUUUGUUAUAUCAUGUCAGAUUACAUCAUAUCAUGUCGCGUAAUAUCACGUCGAAUCACGUUCCACGUGAUGUUACGUUUUAUUACGGCUCGUCACAUUAUUGUUCUCAGUGUACAGGUCUGAAUUUUUACGGAGCCCUCCACAGCACUUGCUCGGCUCUAUCAAACGCACUGAAAAAGAUUUAAAUUUUUUUGUUUUUGUUUUGUUUUCAUGACAUUGCCGGUAGCUACAUCUUUUAAAAAAAGCAGCAAUGUUUGUAUUGGAUUAGAACUAUGGGCUGGUUUUGUGAAUAAAAACAAAUGCAUGUAUUUGUGUCGAAAAUUUACAGCUCUGACGUCUGUCUAUUUGCAUGUUUUUUAAGAAACAGCAACAAACGUACAAAAAAAUUAUAACAAUAUGGAAAUGUUCGCAGAAUCCUCUAGAUUGUUCCCUUUUCCAUUCAAACAGUAAAAUAAAAAGCAAUGGGACAAAAUAUGUCAUUUUGAGAUGCGAUAAAGAUGUUUUAUCAAGAGUCUUUGAUUUCUUCAUCUUCUUCUACUUGAUGUCUGACACACUUAUAACAAUAACAGUGAAGAAGAGUGUGC